rnacentral:rRNA from 1 species
GUAACGGCGAGUGAAGCGGUAACAGCUCAAAUUUGAAAUCUGGCGCCUCGGGGCCCGAAUUGUAAUUUGUAGAAGAUGCUUUGGGUCUGGGCCUGGCCUAAGUUCCUUGGAACAGGACGUCGUAGAGGGUGAGAAUCCCGUAUGCGGCUGGCGCCCGUGCCCGUGUAAAGCUCUUUCAACGAGUCGAGUUGUUUGGGAAUGCAGCUCUAAAUGGGUGGUAAAUUUCAUCUAAAGCUAAAUAUUGGCCAGAGACCGAUAGCGCACAAGUAGAGUGAUCGAAAGAUGAAAAGCACUUUGGAAAGAGAGUUAAACAGUACGUGAAAUUGUUGAAAGGGAAGCGCUGGCAACCAGACUUGGGCGCUGUUGAUCCGCUAGGGUUCUCUCUAGGGCACUCGGCAGCGCGCAGGCCAGCAUCGGUUUGGGGGGUUGGAGAAUGGCUGGUGGAAUGUGGCUGUCUUCGGACAGUGUUAUAGCCACCGGUGGCAUGCAGCCUCCCCGGACCGAGGACCGCGCUUCGGCUAGGAUGCUGGCGUAAUGGUUGUCAGCGACCCGUCUUGAAACACGGACCAAGGAGUCUAACAUCUAUGCGAGUGUUUGGGUGUUAAACCCAUACGCGGAAUGAAAGUGAACGUAGGUGAGAACCCGUAAGGGUGCAUCAUCGACCGAUCCUGAUGUCUUCGG